GUCCUCAGGCGUCAUGUCCGCGGCCAACGCCUACUUGACCAACUCCGACGCCCGAACCGCCGGGGGUCCAGAGAGUGCGGUCCGGGCUGCAAGUCUUGCUCGGCGUUAACCGCUGCUGCACGGGGACCUGCACGGGGACCUUUGUUGUAGGCGCCUGACCUCUCUCCCUGGCCCAGCUCUGCUGCCUGAGAACCUCAGGACGAAGGUCUCCUAGCAGACAAUCCUGUACUACCUUUCUUCUCGGACACCCAAGACUGGCCCGUGCUGUCGCCCGCCGCAUCCUACCUCUGUGCUUCUGUGGUAGGGUGCUGAGGUAAUUCUGGAAAGAACCAGGGAUAUGAGAAGUCACACUAUGUCACCCGUGGUAGAGUGCCGUAGCAUCACAGCUCACAGCAACCUCCAACUCCUGGGCUCAGGUGAUUCUCCUGCCUCAGCCUCCUGAGUACCUGGGACUACAGGCGCCCGCCACAACACCCGGCUAUUUUUUGUUGCAGUUUGGCAGGGGUCGGGUUUGAAGCCGCCACCCUGGAUAUAUGGGACCCGCACCCUACCCACUGAGCCACAGGCGCUGCCCAAUACCUUAUUUUUUAAGAGACACGGGAGGAAAGAGGAGCUUCUAAGAUCUAACCAGUUUUUCUCAAGCAUCUGCAGGAAGGAACAC